AAUGAUUUUCAAUGCCAUUUAGAGGAAAUCUUGGGAUCAACUUGGGAAAAGACGGAGGCUCCUGGCUCUGAUCUUUGGGGACUUCAGAUUUUCUGGAUCAAGGUGAGAUACUACAAAUUUGUAAGAAGAAAAGAAAUGUUUUCUCUUUUCAGCAUAAAAGCCAUAAUGUUAAGGAUAUUAAAAAAUAUCAUGUAAUGUGCACUUUGCAUAAACUUAUCUGAAAUUUAGCAUGAAAAUUGUUUUUUACUCUGAGCUACAGGGAAGGUGUCCCAGAAGAAAUGAGGCUUGCUCACUCCAUGUUUCCAUCACCAGGGGAUUGUGUCCUGCAGGGUCACUCUGCCUGCAUUCACUAGGCCUGUUCAGUCUUAGGGAUUUGCAAAGGUUCUCCUAUCCUUCAGGACUUCUGUUUGGAUUGUUCGGAAAUGUCCUUUGUGAUUGAUGGCUCUUGCCUCAUCACCCAUUCAUGAUGAAGGGGAAUAAGCUGAUUAAACACGACAUUUUGUGAGCCCUCCAUUUCCUCUUGCUUCUUGUAUUAGUUUUCUAUGGCUACUGUAAUAAAUCAACACAAAUUUAGUGGCUUAGAACAACAUGAACUUGUUAUCUUGCAUUUCUGUAGGUUUAGAAAUCCAACACAGGUCUCACCAGGCUGAAAUCAAGUUGUUAGCAGGGCUACGUUCCCUUCUGGAGGCCCUGGGGGAAAGCUGUCCCCUUGCCUUUUCCAGCUUCUAAAGGCUGCACACAUUCCUUGGCUUCUAGCCCCUUCUUUACAUCAUCAAAGCCAGCAUUGUUGCAUCUCCCUGAAGGUCCUUGAAGUGUAAACCCAUUCUUCAGUUCUUAUCAUUCCACUAACUGCCCCUUACUGCCUCACUUUUCUACCUUUAAGGACCCUUAUGAUUACAUCAGGACCACCCAGAUAAUCCUUGAUACUCUCCUCAUCUCAAGGCCCUUAACUUCAUCAUAUCUGCAAAGUCCCUCUUGCAAUGUAAGCUAACAUAGUCACAUGUUCCCGAGAUUAGGAUGUAGGUAUCUUUGAGGGAGGGCAUUAUUCUACCUACCACUCUUCUUAUUAAGAUUAUGUAUUUCUUUAAAAAUUAAGAAACAUAAAGUUUAUUGCUAUAUUAUAAUUUUCAUCAUGAUAAAGUCAAGGUUGAAGUGCAAUAGAUUAUUUGUAAAAAUGGUCACAAUAAUUUCCUGUCUUAUUGGGCAUGGCAGCUCAUGCUGAGGUUGGGGGAAGGAUUGCUUGAAGUAAGGAAUUCAAGACCAGCCUAGGCAACUAAGAGAGAUUCCAUCUCUUCAAUUUUUUUUUUUUUUUUUUUUCUGAGACAGGAUCUUAAUCUGUUGCCCAGGCUGGAGUGCAGAGGCAUGAGCUUGGCCUUCUGCAACCUCUGCCUCCUAGUCUCAGGUGAUCCUCCCACCUCAGCCUCCUGAGUAGCUACAGGUACAUGCCACCACACCUGGCUAAUUUUUUAAAAAUUCUUUUGCCCAGGCUGGUCUUGAACUCCUGAGCUCCUGUGAUCUGCCUGCCUCAGCCUCCCACAGUGCUGGGAUUACAGGCAUGAGCCACCAUGCCUGGCCAAAACAUUUUUAAAAAAAUGAUUUCCUUUCCUUUCCUGUAUCCACACCCUUAUGAAAUCCCCUCUCAUGUGGACUUUGAGCUUGGCCAUAUGACAUACUUUGGCCAGUGAGACUACUGCAAACAUGAUGGAAGCGGAUACUUAAAAAGUACUUGCACACUGGGACUUGCCUUCUCUUGCUACUCUUAAGCCCUUUCUGACUACCAUGUGAAGAGGCCUGGUGCAUAUACUAAGUGAGAAGAUACAUGUGACCUAGGCACCUUUGUCAUCAAGCCAACAGCUAACACUGGGAGGUAGCACCAAUCACUAAGCAGCACAAGCCACCAGACAUUUAGAUGAGGCCACCUGAGAUCAUCCAGGCAGCAGCUGACCCGGCAGAAACCACAGGUAUGUGAAAGAGGCCAGCAGAGGGAAGACAAGCUGGGCCAGAACAGAAGAAUUGUCCAGCUGAACAACAGAAUUGUGAACUAAAUUAAAUUUUGGGGGGAUGGUUGGCUGUGUGGCAAAGGUUAAUUAAUGUGGGAAGGGAUAGGUAAACUAGAAACCAAAGUUGAGAAUAAGGUUGAAUAAACGAAAGUUUAGUUGCAAGGGAGUGGUGACAAAGAAGAGCCCUUAAAGGCAAAAUCAUAGACAACGUUUUUUGGAGAGAUCAUUUGCACAAGUACAGUAGAGGCCCCUCCUUCCUCCUCCACCUUCAUGCCCUGACUCUGUGGACGUUCAGUGUCACAAGAAAUGCUCCAAUAAUCCCUUUCAUGGAAUGAUAUAAUGUCAUAAGAAGGAGCAUAAAAAUUCCCUGUUCUGAUUUUCCUAUUUAAUGGGAAGCUCAAAAAGACAAAAUGGCUUGCCCAUUUCAUCCUGAAAGUUUAGCUUAUACAGUGAUAUGCCACAUAAUGAUAUUUUUGGGUCUACAAUGGACCUCAUAUAUGACAGGUGGUCCCAUAAGAUUGUAAUGGAGCUGAAAAAUUCCUAUUGCCUUGUGACCUCGUAGCCAUCAUAAUGUUGUAGCACAAUGCAUUACAUUUGUGGUGAUGCUGAUAGAAACAAACCAACUGUGCUGCCAGGUGUAUCAAAGUAUAGAACAUGCAAUUAUGUACAGUAUAUAAUACUUGACAAUGAUAAUAAAUGACUAUGUUGCUGGUUUGUGUAUUUACUUUUUAUCAUUAUUUUAGAGUGUUCUCCUUCUACUUAUUAAAAAAAAAUAACUGGAAAACAGCCUUAGGCAGGUCCUUCAGGAGUAUUCCAGAAGAAAGCAUUGUUAUCAUAAGAGAUGACAGCUCCAUGCCUGUUAUUGCCCCUGAAGACCUUCCCGUGGAACAAGAUCUGGAGGUGGAAGACAGUGAUAUUGAUGAUCCUUAUUCUGUGUAGGCCUAGGCUAAUGUAUAUAUUUAUGUCUUAGUUUUUAACAAAAAAAGCUUAAAAAGUGAAAGAAUGAGAAAAUUUAGAAGUAGAAAAAAGCUUAUAGAAUAAGGAUAUAAAGAAAGAAAAUAUUUUUGUACAGCUGUACAAUGUGUUGUUUGUGUUUUAAGGUGGGUGUUAUUACAAAAGAGUCAAAAAGAAAAAAUUAAAAAUUUUAUAAAAAAUUACAGUAAGCUAAUGUUAAUUUAUUAUUGAAGAAAGAAAAAUAUUCUUUUAUAAGUUUAGUGUAGCCUAAGUGUACAGUGUUUAUAUAUAAAAUCUACAGUAGUGUAGAGCAAUGUCCUAGGCCUUCACAUUUACUCGCCACUUACUCACUGAUGCCUACAGCAAUUUCCAGUUCUGCAAGUUCUAUUCAUGAUAAGUGCCCUAACUGUACAGGUGUAGCAUUUAACAAUUUUUUAUAUAUUUGCACUGUUCCUUUUCUAUGUUUAGAUGUGUUUAGAUAGACAGAUCUUUAUCAUUGUGUUACAAUUGCCUGCAGAAUUCAAUAUAGUAACAUGCUGUACAGGCUUGUAGCCUAGGAGUGAUAGGCUAUACCAUAUAGCCUAGGUGUCUAGCAGGCUAUACCAUCCAGGUUUGUGUAAGUACACUCUUAUAUUGUUCACACAAUUACAAAAUUACCUAAUGAUGCAUUUCUUAGAACAUAUGCCUGUCAUUAAGUGAUGCAUGACUUUAUUUGCUUUAUUUGUAAUGAAAUGAAUAUGUUUCCUGGCUUUUUUUUUUUUUUUUUUUUUGAGAACACUCAACACCUAUCUUGCAGGAGAAUAUUGUGUUUGUUUUUCUUUUCAUUCCUAUGUCUCCUGUUAUAGUCUCAGGAUGGGUGAAGUUUUAGUGAGAAGCUCAGUGGCAAGGAGACAAUAUGACUCUUCCAUGGUCAGUAUACCCACAGAAACACUUUUUCCUCAAUCUCAGGAGAAAAAUGAGCCAAAUAUGGAGGAUCCCAUCAGCUGCAGCAAAGCUACUGGCCAUGAAGGGAAGUGAGAGAAGCAAAGAGAAGAGUGAAGCAGAAUGGGAAGGAAAAUGAUGAUUCUAUGGGCACCAAUCAUGUGAUUUUUUUUUUUUCUCUUUGAAAGAUAACCUUCGGCUUAUUAAUUUUAUCAUCUCUUUUCCAAUAUUGAACCCUCAGCCUCUAAGGAUCAGCCGGGUGUAGACUCAGCAUGAUGGCCUGGCCUGCUAUCUAGCAGGGUCCCCUCAAGGCUAUGGUGGAAGGACUCGCUCAGGGCCUAGGAAGCUCUGUUGCAGUUUCCAUUCUUACAUUCCACCUUCUCUUAUGACCUACUCUCCAGCUAUACUGGAUAUGCUAGUCUUUUUCACACUUUGUGCUUUUGCUGUAUUGUUUCCCUCAUCCUAGAGUAUGCUUUUCCUGUUUGUCUGCCUGGUGAGAUAUUAUGAUCUUCAAAUGUGCCUCAUGGAAGCCUUCUCUGAUUCUUCCAGGCUGAGUUAUUUAUUUAUUUCUCCUACAGUUUCUGAACUGUGACUCACUAGUUCUACUUGGUAUGGCAACAUGAUCAUCUGGCGUUGCUAGAGAGUCUCACCUUUAAAGAGUCAUAUUAAGUUUAUUUACAGGACCUAGUGUUGGAUUACCUGAUCACGUAGCAAUUACAACUUCUUUUAUAAUUUACGCCCAAACCUUUAGGUGAGUCUUCUUGAGGCUUUACCAAGGAAACAGGCAGUUUUAGAGUUGGCCUUAAGGAUGUUCUCUGGUGUCAUCAAAGAAAUGGAAAUGCAAAGCAGAGACAUGUGCAUUUAGAUAUGUGUAAGGUAAGCUACCUUUUUGAAAUGGUGCUACCCAUCUAUUAGGAGACACUCACCUUCUUGACAGACUGUUUUUGAGAGGGGGUGACACAUAUCUUUAGAAACAAUAAAGCCUUUUACCAACACCUCCCGCAAACCUGGUAGACUGAUGUGGUUCAUAAAUUCAUCAAUAGAUCUAGCCUGAUCAAGUACCAGCCAUGGUACUUGAUAUGCUCGAACUCCUGAACUCGUGAUCUGCCUACUCGGCCUCCCGGUUUGGUGCUUUGUCUACUUGGCAAUAAUUGCAAUGAAUUUGUUUGAAAAUAUUUUAUAUUUUCACCUCGUUAUCCCAAAUUGCUAGGAUUUUUCUGUAUUUAGUAAUUUUGAGGGGGAAUGUUUUUCUUUCUUUCCUAGACUGUAGACUAUUUUUAGUGGAAAAUGGCUGCUGAGUGUGUGGAAAGAGUAUAAAAGAUUUCAGUGGGAAGAUUCUACAAUCAUUUGAGAUUCUCCAUUGCUGGAAAAUUCUCAAAUUAGGCUUAUGAAGGCAAUUUGAUUUAGCAAACAGCUCUCUGGACCAAGCAAAUCUUCUCAGCAGGGAUGGAAUUUGAACUGCACUUGUCCCUGGUUCUCACCUUCCCUGAGAAGCAGUGCAUCUGCAGUGUCCCAGGUGAUGCCCCCCACAGGCCUUGAAGCUUGUCUUCCAGAAGAGCCUUCAUUUCAGGGGCAGCAUUCCAGGAAGCACGCCCAUGAAACACUCAUGAGGAGGAACUGGGCUGCCAAUUAUGACUUGUCACUGCUCCAUCAACAUAAAAGGUACCACAUCUAAGAUCAGAUGGGAUUAUAAACCUCAUAAGAGUUUACAAGCCUUUGCUUGAUCAUAUAUUAACUCAGAACCAAAAUGUCUUGGGCUUCUGUUAUUCUACAUUGCAAUUAUUAAGAAAAGUUUAGUGCCUUAAUUAAUUAAGGGUUUAUAUGCAGUGGUUUCAGGUGGGUAGGAGAUAGACUUGGAAUUUCAGGAUGUGUAUCUAUGGGUUUAUUUUACUAUUCUAAAAUCUAAAAUCUCUCUGAUCCUUAGUCUCUCUCCAUCCCUUGGGCUAUUUGUUUAAUUGUAACUGGAAUUCCUUGGCUUCCAGAAAUGGUGUAAUUUUAGCUUUAUGGUCCAGCAGAAACCCCGCCAUUGCUUAAACAAUUUUUCUCUUUGCAGCUAGAACUGUUCCACAAAGCUGUAUGGUUCCACUGUGCCUCUUGAAAACAUGCAAGGUGUUUAUGACAUAAAAGAAGUAACUU
rnacentral:lncRNA from 1 species